GCCCAGGCUGGAGUGCAGUGGCGUGAUCUUAGCUCACUGUAACCUCUGCCUCCCCGGUUCAAGCGAUUCUUUUGCCUCAGCCGCCUCAGCAGCUGGGACUACAGGUGCAUGCCACUGUGCCUGGCUAAUUUUUUGUAUUUUUAGUAGAGACGGUUUCAUCAGGUUGGCCAGGCUGGUCUCAAACUCCUCGCCUCAAGUGAUCCACCCGCCUCUCAAAGUGCUGGGAUUACAGGCAUGAGACAGCACCUAGCCAGAAGAAUUUGACCCAGGGGGCAUAUGGUGGAAGGAAAGCCCAAGGCAACACCUGGGCCUCAGGACUGCGUGAUGGGUGCCCCGUGAAAUCUAAUUCCACUGUGAACUAUGCUGACAUCCAUCAAGGCCUUUACCUCCUACCUCUUGGUUUGAAAUGGGUCUCCAAGACUUCCACCAUCCACAACUGAUCCAGAAAUGGCUCUGGCAGUACCCAAGGGUUCCUUGAAGGCAGGUCUGGGUCUGGUUCUCCGGAUCCCAACACCACGAGCUGUAAUCCCAUCGUCACUUCCUCUGGCAACACGGGGACUGCCUGCCAUGCCCUAACUCCUCCUUGUGCUUUUGGCCUUCGCCUAAGAGUUCCUUGGAGUUUCUUCACAGCAUCUGUAGCCAUCUGAAGUGUCAUCUUCUGUACUAUAUUGCCAGUGCCUACAAUUACGACUGGUAUACUCAACCAGGACCCAUGGACCUGGCAUGGCAGGUGUGCGGAAACAGCAGGACACGCUGACAUUACAGAAGACGAUGCACACCCAUGCACGGGGCACAGAAACACCUUCAAGACACAGGCGGCAGUGGUCUUGUACAAUCUCUCUCUGUAUUCUCAAGUCCCCAUCUGCGAGCAUGGCUACUGGAAAUAACUGCAGCUGUAUACUGACUUAAAGAUCCAAAAAUCCCAGGAAGGACCCCAGAGCUGUGAGCCAGAAGCCCAAGGCCCUCCCAGCCUGAAAGCCCCAGGCCAAGCCUGAACUAUAUGCAGUCAUCCCCAUGAGAAUAUAAACUCCAUGAGGGCAGCAACUUGGCUGGCCUGUGUGCCAGUGCUGGGGACAUCACUGAGAAAUGAAGGCCCAUUUGGCAGGCUAUUUUUGAGCAAGAUUCCUGAGGCCCAAUCGUUGGGUGAUGAGAUGGACCCGAGGUAUUUCACUCCAGCUCUCGAGCCAAAAGAACUGACCACGUCCUCACCACUGCUCUGCGCCAGGUACCAUGCUUGCUGUCUUACACGUGUAUUGGCUUAUUAAACCCUCACAGAAGCCAGGAGAGGAGUUCCAUUAUCACCUCUUCUAGAAGAGGAAACUGAGGCACAGAAGUUAACUGGCCAGGGCUUACGAGCCCCUAGGAGGCAAAGCUGGGGCAUGGUGCUGGAUGUCUGACUCCACGGCCCUCCCCUGCCUUAUCUGCCGUUGUUUCCCUUUCUGCAGGAUUAGUAGAUUAAGCUGUACUGGAAUGUGGCCUCUCAGGCAUUUCCGUAUCAGCCAUGGUUACACUCACUGAGGAUAGCACAGUUGAGUGAUUGAGACAGAGAUUCAGUGCCCCAAAAAUCCUUCCCAUCUGAGCCUGGACUUGCCACGUUUUUUAGAGACAGGGACCAGCAGGAGCUACUUUGACAUGGCACUGUGUUGGGCACAGCCUGGCUGGGGAAUCUCACUGGAUCCUCACAGUGGCUCUGUGUGGUAGGGUAUAGAGAUCCCUACCUUACAGAUGAGCAGACAGGCUAGAAAUAUCACCUGCCUGCUCCUGUGUCCCCAGCAGCAGCUAAGUGACAAAACUGAGGCGGGGAUACAGAAGUUUGAUGCCCAUGUGCUUCUGAAGCGGGCCCCUGGUAUGUGUACAAGGCAGCCAGGAAGUAUUUCUUGUCAGCUGUCCCCAUUCACAAGUUGGCUCACCACCUGAAAGGAGGGUGGUACUUUUAUCCUACUGCACAGGAACGGAAACCAAAGCUCAGAAAAUACUUGCUGGGUUGAUGCCUCAGACUCAGAUCUAAUUGUAACACCAGAAUUUGUUCCAGCCUUUUGAAAGCAGGGCUUCUCAACUUUGCAUGCACCUUAGAAUUACCUGGGGAACUUUAAAAAGAUCCUGAUGCUGAGGCCCAAAGAUUAAUGUUGCAUUAACCAGGCAGGGCCUGGCCUCUGUAUUUUUAAAAGCAUGCUGGGUGAUCGAAUGUGCAAGCUGUGGCUGAGACCCCAACUUGAAAGCAAUCCUACUGUUGGGGAAGUUCUGCAAAUGGAAAGACUAGCCCCCAAAAGAAUGAUUCCACAUAUCUCUGAGGUUACAAGUGGCUUUUUGGUGGGCUGACAAACUGGUUAAACAUUUGACGGUGUCUGAACCUCCGGAGCAGUGAUUUUUAGACUGUCCUCAGAAGAUGGCAAAUCUGAGUGCAGUGUGUUCCUAAAGGCUCUCUGUGGGGAAGUCUGCACGAUGGUACUGAGGGUUUUCUGAGAUUCUCCUGGCAGCUGUGGACCACUGUUCCAUUAUUUCACACCAGAUUUCAUCCAAGCAAAGAGAGGAUCACAUGGAGAUGAAAACACCCCACUUCCUUCAUCUGGAUGACACCUUGUUUAGAAGCCCAUCACUCGGCCAGAGAAGAAAUAUUUAGAUUGAGAAACAGCUUUUUGUUGUGCCCUAAGCCCAUUCUACCUUUAUGAUUCAACUAAAAAUUUAUUUCCACUUAAAUAAAACCAGCAAUUCUGAGCUUCCCCUCCCGUCACAGGUUUCCUCCCAGAAAGUCUAUCAUGAAAAUACUGCUCAAAAAUCAUCUGUAAAAAGGUAAAUUAACACAUAUUCUUGGCUCCCUCUUCCUUAUCUCAGCUAUUCAGCCUCUACACUUUUUCAACUAUUUUAUCACCUUUUUUAAAUAGGCAACACAGGAGUGUAGAAUAAGAGCAUGAGGGGGGUGAAUACAUGAAAAAGUGAGUCUUCCCACCUUGGUCCUCCACUAAGUGACGGUUACUUUUUAAUGUGUCUUUCUACAGGUAUACAUUACACAUAGAAGCACGUAUGUAUGCACCGGUGGAAGUAUAUAUCCUCAUAUUUGGUGUUUGGUUUUUUUUUUUUUUUUGUAGAUUGAGACUGUGUCUCCCAGACUGGAAUGUAAUGACACAAUGUCAGCUCACUCCAACCUCCACCUCCCGGGUUUAAGUGAUUCUCCUGCCUCAGCCUCCCAAGUAGGUGGGAGUACAGGCGUGCACCACCAUGCCUGGCUAAUUUUUGGAUUUUUAGUAGAGAUGGGUUUUCCUCUUGUUGGCUAGGCUGGUCUCACACUCGACCUCAGGUGACCCAACCACCUUGGCCUCCCACAGUACUGGGAUUACAGGUAUAAGCCUCUGUGUCUGGCCCAUAUUUGCUAUUUCUAAAAUUAGAAAGGUAUUGUGUGGUACUCUUCCAUGCUUUAUCCUCUUAGUAAUAAUGUCAUGGAGAUUUUUUCCAUAUCACUACAUGCGGUAUGGAAGGUAUUCCCUUUACAUGUGAGUGUACAUCAGCCUCAGUAUUCUAGCCCAUAGGUUGGCAAACUUCCUAUAAAGGGUGAGACUAAACAUACUAGGCUCCAGGGAGGCAUUCCAUCUCAGUUACAACUCAACUUUGCCCUUAUAAUAAGAAGCUAUACAUGAAGUGUGAAUGACUGGGCAUGUUCCAAUAAAACUUUACUUAUAAAAAACAGGUGGAGGGUAAGAUUUGGCCUGUGGGCCAUCAUUUUCUGAUCUCUGUUCUAGUCUGAACCAUCUUUGGCUGUUUCACCACAGUCAUGCGGCCAAGGAGGCAAGGCCUGGCCACACAGGGCACAGAAGCCAUGAUGGGCCUUGUCUGCAAGUAGAAAUCACCUGCUAAUCACCAACAGGUCUCAAAGUAAAUGCUGGAACACACUUUGUAGGGUGACUCUCCUGGCCCCAAGCAGCAUCUGCGACAUCAAGAUGCCGGGCCUUGGGACUGCCUCAAGCUGGUUUCGGCAGCUAUGCUCUUUACAGAGCGUGUGGAGGGCAAGGACUCUGGAGUAGAAAAAGGUGCAGGUCUUAGGGCUGGGGUCCCAGGGUGGAAGCCCACUCCAUGCCUUACUGGCUAUUUGAGAUAGAGGAUGAAAAAUGGCAUGAACAUCUUUGUAUGUGUGAGGAUCUUCCUGUUGCCCACGCUGGAGUUCAAUGGUGCAAUCUUAGGUCACUGCAACCUCCACCUCCCAGGUUCAAGAGAUUCUCCUGCCUCAGCCUUCUGAGUAGCUGGGACUACAGGUGCACACCACCACCCAUGGCUAAUUUUUGUAUUUUUGGUAGACAUGGGGUUUUGUCAUAUUGACCAGGCUGGUUUCCAACUUCUGACCCUGAGUGAUCUACCACCUCAGCCUCCCAAAGUGCUGGGAUUACAGGGAUGAGCCACCAUGGCUGGCAGACACAAGCAUCGUGAGGGGUGCCUAGCCCCUGCAGACACUCCAUGAACAGCAAAUGUGAUAACUGCUAAAUCAAAACUACCCCAGAAUUUUCCAUCUGCUAUGUCCCCAAGAAAUGACACUGUAACAGGGAGCCGAACACUAUGAUGCCUGCCCAGCUGCAAGAGUGGACUCACCUAAGAUACUCCACAAGCUUUUUAUGCUGUUACAACGGACCCAAAGCACGGGAGAGCAGGGGCCUCACUUGUGCUGUUGCUUGAGAGUUCCCUAAAUGCCAGGCCAUAGCAGGUACUGAAGAAUACCUACAGCCCGAGUGAGUGCUGCUAUGUGUAGGGUUCAGGCCAAGGGCCCUGGCUGCAGAGCAGAGGAACUGAGAGCUAGACAGGGCUGGGCCUGCCAUAGGAAAACAACAGCCCAGCUAUGACCCAGCACUGUGGUGGCUGGGGGAUGAGAGAUGAGCUCAGCACAGAAAACACCUUGGAGCCCUGGAUGUACCCCUCCUACACCAGUACAAUGCCCUGCAGUGCUCUGGGCUUUAAACUUCACUUCUUGCUGAGUUGACACCAAAUGAGGCCCCUGAAGAGCCUCUUCUGCUGUGGGGCUUGGACAGAGUACCCGGGCCUGGAGUGGGACUUACAGGGAAGCCAGCAUCAUAGAAAAUCCCUAGAGGGAAUUCCCAGAAGGCUGCACCCUCAAAGCAUCUGGUCCAGACAAGACAACCCUGACUAGUCAUCCUGAAAGCCCGGUGCUGUCCAAAAGACACAGAUGCCAUGGUACAGGGAUGUGGCACAGUGGGGAGCCAGAGGUAGGUUACAAAGGAGACCUUAGAAGGUGUGGGACUCCCUUCCAUGUGGGUGCAGAGUGCCCACUGUCAUUCCCCAUGGAGGCACCAAGCCAGGAGAGUAGGGCUCCAGGGACAGUAGCUUCCAGCCUUCCCAGUCAGGUCCACAUCUGGUGAGCCAGAAGGAAGGAAAUGUAACCUAACACUGUGGCAGGAUCCAGCGUGGCCUUGUGGGAGGCGCUGUGGGAUGAGCAAGAGAGCAAAUGUGUGUGGCCAAGAUGAAGAAUGAACAGGGAUAGAAAAUUCCUACUUGUCCCAAGAAAUAGACCUCAAUGUCCCUUAGCAACAUCUUUUUAUGUCAUGCCUGACCGUGUGUGUGCCAGGGGUGGUGCUUGCCUUACCAAUAUGAGCAGUGCAAAAGUCCAGGAUGCCACGUUCACUCGAGACCCCUGUGCCAUGCUGUCUCCCAAAAGACUGAGCACCUUGAGGGCAGACUGGGAAUUGAGGUAUCCCUGAACCCCUAAGAGCAGCUCCUAUACAGCCCUAGAACUGCUGCUGAAGGAAGUGGCUCAUUUUGCUAAACUCCAGUUUGGAAUCUGGGGCUCAGUAAGGCUGUCCCUGCAGAGCAUUCUUGAGCCCAUUCUGUUCGGUAGCCAGGCAAGUGUGAGCAGCUGCAGCUUCACAGGAGGAGGCUUAGAGGGGCAGUGAUGGGUGCCAUGCUAUGCAGAUCCCAGACAGGAACGCGGGGGCCAGGUUUUAUUACAGGAGAUGGUGCUUGGGGUGGGAAUCAUAUCUCCAUCCCAUGGGACAGCUUAGUGGUGCUGAGGCUGACUUCGUGGGGGUGUAUUUAAUCCUCGUGAGGGAGGGGGAUGUUAACCACAGCUCAGGACUCUGUUCUUCCAGUUCCUCUUUCUCUCACACCCACAUUGAAACCAGCAAGUUCUGGUAGUUCUACUUUGAGAAUACCCCUUCCCAGGCUGCCUGAGGCACCAUCCCCUCUCCCCGGGGUGCCCACAUGGUCCCCUAACUACCUGUUCUAUCACCCAUAACAAAGCUCUACCCUUUGCUGACUCCACAUGGCAGCUAGAGUUCCCUUGGCUGCAAGGCCUCUCUGUUCCUGGGCUACCCUGGCUUCCUUGCUGUUUCUCCCAGGGGCCAACUCUUCAAGGCUGCAGGACCUUUGCACCUGCUGUGUCCACUGCCUGGCUCCCUGCCUCAGGUCUCCACUUCGGGUCAAACUAUCCCUGUCAUCUUCCUAGACCAUAAACAGCACAUCCCCAGCAGGCUUCUUUCCCUCUGUGAUGACUGUGAUGUCAUUUCCUGUCUUUUCACUGGAAAUCGCCACCUCACAUAGGCAUGUCUGCCUCACUAUUCAAUGUCUGUGUCCCCCAUGAAAACAGAUGCUUUAUCUGCUGUUGAACUAUCAGGAUCUGAAAUGGUGCACUGUAAGUACUAAUUGGAGGAAUGGGUGGAUGGAGGGGUGGGGAAUUUAUUUUCUCUUCAUCCCUGCUCUCAUCCUCCUAGGGCUUCCAGCUGCACUCCUAGCCCUGGAAAAACCAAACCAGCCUGAUCUUACUGGUGACUGUAUAAUCUUAAUCCCUUUAUUUUCAUAUAUUUUGAAAGCAAUCCUAAUUGUCUGUAUUUAAAAUUUCCUUUGUUGCAUGGAAGGUAGCUGUUUAAAUGUCUAAUUUUCUCCUAUCUUCUUAGUUUUCUAGUCAAAAUAAUAGCUUUAAUCACAGUGGGUCUAGAUGGAUUCAAAAAGGAAGAUUUAUCCACUCUUCUUGGUAAUUGUUU
rnacentral:lncRNA from 10 species